rnacentral:rRNA from 1 species
AGAGUUCGAUUAUGGCUCAGGAUGAACGCUAGCUACAGGCUUAACACAUGCAAGUCGAGGGGAAACGAUAUUGGAAGCUUGCUUCCGAUAGGCGUCGACCGGCGCACGGGUGAGUAACGCGUAUCCAACCUGCCCACCACUUGGGGAUAACCUUGCGAAAGUAAGACUAAUACCCAAUGAUAUCUCUAGAAGACAUCUGAAAGAGAUUAAAGAUUUAUCGGUGAUGGAUGGGGAUGCGUCUGAUUAGCUUGUUGGCGGGGUAACGGCCCACCAAGGCAACGAUCAGUAGGGGUUCUGAGAGGAAGGUCCCCCACAUUGGAACUGAGACACGGUCCAA